rnacentral:rRNA from 1 species
AGAGAGAGACAUGCGCGCAUAUCAAUAAGCGGAGGAAAAGAAACUAACUAAGGAUUCCCUCAGUAACGGCGAGUGAAGCGGGAAGAGCUCAAAUUUGAAAUCUUCAAGGUUCUACCUUGACGAAUUGUAGUUUAAAGAAGUGUUUUCUGUUGAAGUUUUGGUAAAAGUUCUUUGGAAUAGGACAUCAUAGAGGGUGAGAAUCCCGUAUUUGACCAUUAUUUUCAGCUUUGUGAUACACUUUCAAAGAGUCGGAUUGUUUGGGAACGCAGUCCAAAAUGGGUGGUAAAUUUCAUCUAAAGCUAAAUAUUGGCGAGAGACCGAUAGCGAACAAGUACCGUGAGGGAAAGAUGAAAAGGACUUUGAAAAGAGAGUUAAACAGUACGUGAAAUUGUCAAAAGGGAAGCGUUUGACACCAGUGUUGUUUUCUCGAAAAUCAAUUAAAAAUGGCUCGAUUUUGUAUUGUUGAGACCUUAAAAGCUCACUGUACAUUUUUCGUGUCUUUUUUAAUGCACUUUUCGUUUAACAAGUCAACAUCAGUUUCUUUUGUUGUAAAAGGGUCAUUGGAAGGUGGCUUUCUUUUCGGAGAAAGUGUUUAUAGCCUUUGGCCUCUGCAAUCGGAAGAGACUGAGGUCUGCAGCGUAGACUCUUCGGGGUUAGAUACAUUUGUGCUAAGUUAUAGCUUUUUAUAGACAACUUGUUGACUAUAAUUAGUCUUGUAGCUUACUCGCUUAUGCUAUUUUACCUACGCUUAGGAUGUUGAGUCGUAGAGCACGCAG